AUUUUGGUUCAGAAUUCUGAGUUCUCUGUUCAUUGUCUUCUGACUGUUGCUGCUUCAGCAAUCCAGUGCCCCUCAUUCCCAGACCUUUGGAUUGACCAUUUGCCUUUUUCUUUCUCCAGAAGUUUCCAGGCACUUCCAUCGCUGUUGUCUGAAAUCGUAGAGAGAGAGACAGCCAGCGAGAGACGGAACACAAGCAGGGGGAGUGGGAGAGGAAGAAGCAGGUUCCCAGCAGAAGAGCCUGACGUGGGGCUCGAUCCCAGAACUCCGGGAUCACGCCCUGAGCCGAAGGCAGACGCUUAACGACUGAGCCACCCAGGAGCCCCCAGACCUUUAAUUUUUAAUGUAAAUGAAUUUAUCGAUUUUUUUCUUUGAUUUUUUUUUCUUUUAUGGCUGCUGAGUUUGGUGACAUACUCAGAGGCCUCCUUCACUCCAAGAUUCUACAACACUUUCCCUUUGUUUCUUCAGUAUUUUUAUAGCUCACUUUUUUUUUUUUAACCCUUGGAUCCACCUGAAAAAACAGUAUGUUCUAACGAUUUCAAUGGCUGACUCUGUGUUGAGAAACAUCAGAAGGAGCAGCCAACCUGUUCCUGGAUACUGUGUUCAUCCUGGACUCAUGUGAGGAACUGGGUGCAGCUUUCUCAUCUUUCUGCCUGAAACCAGAUCUCAGUCAGGGAUGGAGUCCGGGCACUCUGCUGGCCCUUGGGCUCCUUGCCUGCAUCCCAGGCUGUGAAGCUGAGCAGGACUGGGCUCGAACCCAUCUCCCAAGGAGUUUCCUUCCCUGGCCAAACCCUCAUCCCUGAGGUGGGAGAUACUGAUGGAGGGUGUGAGGACCACUGCCCAGUGGGAUUCUCAGCCUUUGCUUGUUCCACUGUCUUGAGUCAAGGAAACUAAGGUUCCUGGGGACACUCACUACCUUGUAACCUGCAUCAAAUCACUUCAUGUCUCCAAACCUCCAAUUCUUCAACUGUAAAAGACAGUAACACCUACCUCGUAGGGUUGUCACGAGGAUUAAAUAAAUGUGCCCAGUACACAGUACGUGUGCA
rnacentral:lncRNA from 1 species